UACGUAGGGCGCAAGCGUUGUCCGGAAUUAUUGGGCGUAAAGAGCUUGUAGGCGGUUUGUCGCGUCUGCUGUGAAAACCUAAGGCUCAACCUUGGGCUUGCAGUGGGUACGGGCAGACUAGAGUGCGGUAGGGGUGACUGGAAUUCCUGGUGUAGCGGUGGAAUGCGCAGAUAUCAGGAGGAACACCUAUAGCGAAGGCAGCUUGCUGGGACGUUACUGACGCUAAGGCGCGAAAGCGUGGGGAGCGAACAGG
rnacentral:rRNA from 1 species